rnacentral:rRNA from 1 species
GUGCCAGCAGCUGCGGUAAUACGUAGGGGCAAGCGUUGUCCGGAAUUAUUGGGCGUAAAGCGCGCGUAGGCGGUUCUUUAAGUCUGAUGUGAAAUCUUGCGGCUCAACCGCAAGCGGUCAUUGGAAACUGGGGAACUUGAGUACAGAAGAGGAGAGCGGAAUUCCACGUGUAGCGGUGAAAUGCGUAGAUAUGUGGAGGAACACCAGUGGCGAAGGCGGCUCUCUGGUCUGUAACUGACGCUGAGUGCGAAAGCGUGGGAGCGAACAGGAUUAGAUACCCUGGUAGUCCACGCCGUAAACG